UUGGGGGUGGAGGGGCCAGUUCCUCUGUGACUGACUGGCUGACGCAGCUUACUUGAACAGGUCCAGCCUAGAGAGUCAACUUUAGAGACUGGCAUUUGCAAGUGCGCAACGGUGUUUGACGGGGGACAUAGAUGACUGCUGGUCCUCCUUCAUAAACUCGGCCUUGGAGUGUGCAGCCACUGAGGUACAGGAGUCCUGUGCUGUCCCUGCACUAAUCAGAGUGCUCAAAAUCCAGCCUCUGCCUUCAAGAAGGGAGCAGGGGGAGCCCGGGCUGGCUGCGAUUUCAUGGGGACAGGUAAGAAGGUGCAAACUUGGGGUUCAGAGGGAAGGUGGAGGGGUGGCUGGGAUGCAUGAGCUAGGGGUGGCAGUUUUUCCAAAUUAUACAUUCAGGUCAUGCGUGGAACCCUUGCAGAGACCUGACUUGCUGUUUUUCUAUCUCUUCCUGGUGUGCCGGGCAGUCUCUCUGUGCUCAUGGUUUAACUAGUCUUUCUUUAUUUUUAUUUUAUUUUAUUAUGAUUUUUUGAGACGGAGUCUCACUCUGUUGCCCAGGCUGGAGUGCAGUGGUGUGAUCUCGGCUUGCUGCAACCUCUGCCUCCAAGGUUCAAGUAAUUCUCCUGCCUCAGCCUCCCAAGUAGCUGGGAUUAUAGGCGCCCACCAACACGCCCAGCUAAUUUUUGUAUUUUUAGUAGAGACGGGGUUUUACCAGGUUGGCCAGGCUGGUCUUGAACUCCUGACCUCAGAUGAUCCACCCGCCUUGGCCUCCCAAAGUGAUGGGAUUACAGGCAUGAGCCACUGCACCCGGCCACUCUUUUCUUUUCUUCUAUUUCUUUUAUUGGCUCUCUCUUUCUCUCUCUCUUUUUUUUUUAGAUAGGGUCUUGCUCACUGUGUUGCCCAGGCUGGUCUUGAACUGCUGGACUCAAGCCAUCCUCCUGCCUCAACUAACCGAGUAACUGGGAUUACAGGUGAAUGCCACAGCACCUGGUUGCUCAUUUCCUUUUAGCGCUGAAUAAUAUUCCAUUGUCUGGAUGUACCACAGU
rnacentral:lncRNA from 1 species